rnacentral:rRNA from 1 species
AUUGAGACGAGUGGCGAACUGGUGAGUAACACGUGGGUAACCUGCCCUUGAAGUAGGGGAUAACACUUGGAAACAGGUGCUAAUACCGUAUAACAACCAAAACCACCUGGUUUUGGUUUAAAAGACGGCUUCGGCUGUCACUUUAGGAUGGACCCGCGGCGUAUUAGCUUGUUGGUAAGGUAACGGCCUACCAAGGCGAUGAUACGUAGCCGACCUGAGAGGGUAAUCGGCCACAUUGGGACUGAGACACGGCCCAAACUCCUACGGGAGGCAGCAGUAGGGAAUCUUCCACAAUGGACGAAAGUCUGAUGGAGCAACGCCGCGUGAGUGAUGAAGGGUUUCGGCUCGUAAAACUCUGUUGUUGGAGAAGAACAGGUGUCAGAGUAACUGUUGACAUCUUGACGGUAUCCAACCAGAAAGCCACGGCUAACUACGUGCCAGCAGCCGCGGUAAUACGUAGGUGGCAAGCGUUGUCCGGAUUUAUUGGGCGUAAAGCGAGCGCAGGCGGUUUUUUAGGUCUGAUGUGAAAGCCUUCGGCUUAACCGGAGAAGUGCAUCGGAAACCGGGAGACUUGAGUGCAGAAGAGGACAGUGGAACUCCAUGUGUAGCGGUGAAAUGCGUAGAUAUAUGGAAGAACACCAGUGGCGAAGGCGGCUGUCUGGUCUGUAACUGACGCUGAGGCUCGAAAGCAUGGG